rnacentral:snRNA from 1 species
AUCGUCCCACACGAUAUUAAAUUAAUUUUUUUCUUGGGGGAGGUCCCACCACAGUAGCUUGCUACUGGGGGCCUCGCGCGUCGCCCAUGCUUUGCACUAUUGCAAGGGCCUGGCGCACCCCNN